rnacentral:rRNA from 1 species
UGGGUCUUGUAAUUGGAAUGAGUACAAUUUAAAUACCUUAACGAGGAACAAUUGGAGGGCAAGUCUGGUGCCAGCAGCCGCGGUAAUUCCAGCUCCAAUAGCGUAUAUUAAAGUUGUUGCAGUUAAAAAGCUCGUAGUUGAACCUUGGGCCUGGCUGGCCGGUCCGCCUCACCGCGUGUACUGGUCCGGCCGGGCCUUUCCUUCUGGGGAUCCGCAUGCCCUUCACUGGGUGUGUCGGGGAACCAGGACUUUUACUUUGAAAAAAUUAGAGUGUUCAAAGCAGGCCUUUGCUCGAAUACAUUAGCAUGGAAUAAUAGAAUAGGACGUGCGGUCUUAUUUUGUUGGUUUCUAAGACCGCCGUAAUGAUUAAUAGGGAUAGUCGGGGGCAUCAGUAUUCAAUUGUCAGAGGUGAAAUUCUUGGAUUUAUUGAAGACUAACUACUGCGAAAGCAUUUGCCAAGGAUGUUUUCAUUAAUCAGUGAACGAAAGUUAGGGGAUCGAAGACGAUCAGAUACCGUCGUAGUCUUAACCGU